rnacentral:rRNA from 1 species
GACGAACGCUGGCGGCGUGCCUAAUACAUGCAAGUAGAACGCUGAAGGAGGAGCUUGCUUCUCUGGAUGAGUUGCGAACGGGUGAGUAACGCGUAGGUAACCUGCCUGGUAGCGGGGGAUAACUAUUGGAAACGAUAGCUAAUACCGCAUAAUAGCAGUUAUUGCAUGAUAACUGUUUGAAAGGUGCAAUUGCACCACUACCAGAUGGACCUGCGUUGUAUUAGCUAGUUGGUGGGGUAACGGCUCACCAAGGCGACGAUACAUAGCCGACCUGAGAGGGUGAUCGGCCACACUGGGACUGAGACACGGCCCAGACUCCUACGGGAGGCAGCAGUAGGGAAUCUUCGGCAAUGGACGGAAGGCUGACCGAGCAACGCCGCGUGAGUGAAGAAGGUUGUCGGAUCGUAAAGCUCUGUUGUAAGAGAAGAACGAGUGUGAGAGUGGAAAGUUCACACUGUGACGGUAUCUUACCAGAAAGGGACGGCUAACUACGUG